AGCAGGAUGGGCUGGUCAGUGGGAUAGCCUCUGUGCACAUUUUGUGGCAAGUAGGAGUGACACAUCAUUCCUGGGAGGCCCCGUGGUUCCUGCCAAACCCAACCCCAGAAUUCUCCCUGAGGUGGUUUUACCAAACCCAUAACCCAGAACUGCUAUUGUGGUUUGGAGGUCAGCACCCACCAGUGCCAGGGCACUACUGGGAGGCUGGGACCUGACCAAAGCCCAUGGUGUCUGUGGCCUGAGGACAGGGUGUCUUGGGGCCAUGAGGACAGGCCACCAAUGGCCGUUGGGUCAUAGGGCCUGAGCCCCAGUGUUUGUCCUUCCCUGGCUCCUUCUGGUUCAGUCCCAUCAGGGCUCUGGAUCCCAAGACGCAGCAUCCAAGGUUCCCUCCAGGAAUCCUGGUGGCUCGGCUUACUUUGUCAUGUUUCAUCUGAUAGCAAAAAUAUCAGAUCGGCUGCACAGAAAAAUGGCUCAAAGUGCUUAAUGACCAGAAGAAAUCUGGGAGCAGCAAGAAGAGGUCUCAGGUGCUCUACAAGGGAGUCCCAUUUCAGGUGUGGGGCUGGGUAUGGUCACUCCUGCUGGAUGUCUAGAAGGUGAAAACCAAGGACCUAGGAAAAUACCAGAUACAGCCUUUCCACCGUCAUCCAGAGCAGGACAAACACGCCAGGUGGUGUCAGGAGCCCAGGUCUCCAGCUGGAGGGAAUGUCAACCCUGCAGUGGGAGCCCAUCAUGCAUCCUAGGCACAGAUGCUAACGUAGGCACCGCAGAAGCACUGCUGACUGUUUGGUGGUUGCUGUUAGGGCAGUGAGCCUUUUGUCCAUUCUGAGAUUGGGCUGGUUUCUCCUCUUGGCCCUGGCCUACAGACCAUAAAGGAAAACAGCAAGAGGUCCCCAGCAAACAUCUACAGAUGGCCCUGGACAUCAGCCACAUUCAGAGAAACGUGUCAUGUUCUGGGAGGGCUAAGGCAUCGAGAAUCCCAGUGAAUAUAUUGCCACCAUCUUGGAGCUCAGUGCCCUCAUAGUGUAACAGCACCAGCAGAUCUGCCUGUGCACAGACUUCCUGUACUACCUCACUCCUGAGGGGAGAUGCUUCUGCAGGGCCUGCGACCUGGUGCACAACUUUAGACACCAUCAUCCUGGAGCGGCACUGCACCCUCACUAGCCAGGGUGUUGAUGACUUCCUCAAUGCCAAGGCCACGUUCAAGAUUUUCGACUUCAGUGAUGCGUUUGUGCUGAGCAAGCCGUUUUGCACACCCUGGUCAGAAUGAAACAUUCCUUGGGAACUCGGGCCGUGAGAAGCAUCCUUCCUGAUCACCUGACUGUAGAAACAUCCUUAUCGCACCCUCCCGGGCAAAGGCCCAACAGCCUGACUGCAGGAACAUCCUUGCCAUAUCCUGCCGGGCAGCAAGCUCUACCGCCCACACCCCUCCUUCCCAGUCCCAUGAUCACCCCAGCCUGUGAGAGGCAGUUGGUGCUGGCAGUAAGCUGGUUUCCUCCUCUGCAGGGUUUUGCUAGUAAUAAAGGUGUUGCUGUUGAAGCCGUCA
rnacentral:lncRNA from 1 species